rnacentral:misc_RNA from 1 species
CACGUUUCAUCAUAUUCCACGUUUUUGAUAUUCGGUUGGUUAUUACUAGAUAGCUAAGACCCUCUUAUCUGAACUUAUAGAUUUAUGCGAAAACAGUCAAGCACAAAUUCCUCUAAAUUCAUGUCUUGACAUGGUAACUACACGCUAACGACACAAGUGCUACAUAAUAUCUACAUUUCCAUGUAAUUACUGAAAGCGCCACCUGAGGGGAAAAUGUGUAAGUUUGUUGACAAGCUUGGCCGAUUUUGUUUUCAUAUUUGAAUGGCAAACGAUCAGGAAUUCGAUAUUGAUCACUCAUAUGUACUCGAUGUGGCCUGGGACAUGGAUCUAAAUGUACAGGGUUUCUACAUUGGUGCAUUCGACAAGAGGGUGUGUGAGCUAGACAUGGUGGCAAGACCCUCAGAAAAAACGGACUCAGUCCACUUAAGCCCCCUAUAUUUAAACAAUUCAACGACUUGAGGUAAAUAUCGGAAAAUAUUAGUGAUUGUAAAUUCUUCUUGAAGAUCCAUGUCAUCUGUCCUUUGAACUUAAAAGAAAACCACAAUAUGUUUAACCUGAACAGCGCUAAAGUGAUAACAUUUUCAUUAUUUUCGGAGCAGUAUCAACAUCAUACCCCCUUUGUCAACAACGGGCUAAUCGCUCUCAGUCAAGGAUUGGAAACAAUAUUCCUCGUUUUUGAUAUUCCGUCGAAUAUU